AACGUAGGUCACAAGCGUUGUCCGGAAUUACUGGGUGUAAAGGGAGCGCAGGCGGGAAGACAAGUUGGAAGUGAAAUCUAUGGGCUCAACCCAUAAACUGCUUUCAAAACUGUUUUUCUUGAGUAGUGCAGAGGUAGGCGGAAUUCCCGGUGUAGCGGUGGAAUGCGUAGAUAUCGGGAGGAACACCAGUGGCGAAGGCGGCCUACUGGGCACCAACUGACGCUGAGGCUCGAAAGUGUGGGUAGCAAACAGGAUUAGAUACCCUUGUAGUCCGCACUGAU
rnacentral:rRNA from 1 species